rnacentral:misc_RNA from 1 species
UUCCUGAGUGGAAUGGCCCUCUUACGAGGAUAAACCUUUAGUAUCGAUUGCUUGCUGGUUAUCUUCCAUUCUAUAAUUGUAAUGAGUAGAGUGGUACGGUCUGAUAAUCGGCUAUGCCUCACGGUGUGCUUUUGAUACUUAAUCAUUACUAUAGCCUCUAGGCUUUCUCGUAUACCGAAUCUACGUGGUCUAGGCCACAUCUGGGUGCUUACUUAGCUUGCCUUUGUAUACCACCCGUCAGCGCCUUCGGGAUGAAGCUGAUAACUUUAUGAACUCCAUGUGGUGGAUCACUCGGCUCACGUAUCGAUGAAGAGUGCAGCAAACUGUGUUAAACAAUGUGAAACGCAGACUGCUUCGAUCAUCUGAAUCUUGAACGCAUAUUGCGGCUUUGGGUUCGCCCAUAGCCACGUUCGAUCAAGUGUCGGCUUUUAUCUAUCAUGACGCUUAAUUAGUCAUGGAUUGAGGAGCUUACCAUGGUCACAUGAUUUCUCUAAGAGAGGUGACUAGAUUGGUUCUCCUUUAAUAACAAAGCAUAUGUUUUAUCUAGCUUUAAUAACCUUCUGCAUACCAGGGUGUGUGGCUUAAUAUUAGUAACGCUGUACUGGUAUGCUUUAGGGUUAGAUAAUUCGCUUUAUAAUC